AGAGUUUGAUCAUGGCUCAGGACGAACGCUGGCGGCGUGCCUAACACAUGCAAGUCGAACGGAGAUAAAGAUUUCGGUUUUUAUCUUAGUGGCGCACGGGUGAGUAACACGUGAAUAACCUGACCCAAAGAGGGGGAUAACACCUGGAAACAGGUGCUAAUACCGCAUAAGACCACAAUGUCGCAUGACGAAGGGGUCAAAGAAAAUCGCUUUGGGAGGGGUUCGCGUCCCAUUAGGUAGUAGGCGGGGUAACGGCCCACCUAGCCGACGAUGGGUAGCCGAGCUGAGAGGCUGAUCGGCCACACUGGAACUGAGACACGGUCCAGACUCCUACGGGAGGCAGCAGUGGGGAAUAUUGGGCAAUGGGCGCAAGCCUGACCCAGCAACGCCGCGUGAGGGAAGAAGGUUUUCGGAUUGUAAACCUCUGUCGCAGAAGACGAAGGAAGUGACGGUAUUCUGUGAGGAAGCCCCGGCUAACUACGUGCCAGCAGCCGCGGUAAUACGUAGGGGGCGAGCGUUGUCCGGAAUUACUGGGCGUAAAGGGAGCGUAGGCGGUCUGAUAAGUUGGAUGUGAAAUACCCGGGCUUAACUUGGGGGGUGCAUCCAAUACUGUUGGACUAGAGUACAGGAGAGGAAAGCGGAAUUCCUAGUGUAGCGGUGAAAUGCAUAGAUAUUAGGAGGAACAUCGGUGGCGAAGGCGGCUUUCUGGACUGCAACUGACGCUGAGGCUCGAAAGCGUGGGGAGCAAACAGGAUUAGAUACCCUGGUAGUCCACGCUGUAAACGAUGAAUACUAGGUGUAGGGGGUAUAAACUCCCUCUGUGCCGCAGCAAACGCAAUAAGUAUUCCGCCUGGGGAGUACGGCCGCAAGGUUGAAACUCAAAGGAAUUGACGGGGGCCCGCACAAGCAGCGGAGCAUGUGGUUUAAUUCGACGCAACGCGAAGAACCUUACCAAGGCUUGACAUCCACUUAAAGUUAUGGAAACAUAAUGUCCCUUCGGGGGAAGUGAGACAGGUGGUGCAUGGUUGUCGUCAGCUCGUGUCAUGAGAUGUUGGGUUAAGUCCCGCAACGAGCGCAACCCCUGUUGCCAGUUGCCAGCAAGUAAAGUUGGGGACUCUGGUGAGACUGCCGGGGACAACUCUGAGGAAGGUGGGGAUGACGUCAAAUCAGCACGGCCCUUACGUCCGGGGCGACACACGUGUUACAAUGGCGGCCACAGAGGGAAGCUACCCCGCGAGGGGAUGCGGAUCUCGAAAAGCCGUCCCAGUUUGGACUGGAGUCUGCAACCCGACUCCACGAAGUUGGAUUCGCUAGUAAUCGCGCAUCAGCCAUGGCGCGGUGAAUACGUUCCCGGGCCUUGUACACACCGCCCGUCAAGCCAUGGAAGCCGCGGGCGCCUGAAGUCCGUGACCGGAAGGAGCGGCCUAGAGCGAAAGUGGUAACUGGGGCUAAGUCGUAACAAGGUA
rnacentral:rRNA from 1 species